rnacentral:rRNA from 1 species
UACAGAGGUCUCAAGCGUUGUUCGGAUUCAUUGGGGCGUAAAGGGUGCGUAGGCGGUGCCGUAAGUCGGAUGUGAAAUCCCUCGGCCUAACCGAGGAACUGCGUCCGAUACUGCGGUGCUUGAGGAUCAGAGGGGUGCAUGGAAUUUCCGGUGGAGCGGUGAAAUGCGUUGAUAUCGGAAGGAACUCCGGCGGCGAAAGCGAUGCACUGGCUGAUUUUCUGACGCUGAGGUGCGAAAGCCAGGGGAGCAAACGGG